ensembl:lncRNA
CCUAACCUCACAGGCAUCAUAAAUCAUUCAGCAGGCCAUUGAAAGUGAUGCAGCACAACUAUCCUGCUACUACAUCUCUGUCCUAUACCAACAGACAGAUCAGGACAUGUGUGCAAGACUACAGCAGACAGGAGUGAGGUUACUACACCAUCUUCAAAUACUUCAACUUCUUUAUUGGCUACGACCAAAACGAGGCAGGACAUCAAGAGACUUUUCACAGGUCCUGGAUGAAGAAUUUCAAAACCUCGGCAGCUGGACAUAUUAACUAUGCUAUGGACUUGUAGAUGGGAGAGUUUCAGGUGUGUGUGGUGGCUGAGUGUUGUGCUUCUUAGUCUGGUCCAUGGAAACAACUUAAGUCAUCAGUUCCAGGAGAGGCCAUCCUGCCGGCCAGGUUUCUACUGCCCUUUGUGGGACUUCAUUCCAGUCCCUUGUCCCAGAGGAACCUAUGGGCCAACUUCUGGUGCAACGUCCAUCGACAGCUGUUUCAAGUGUCCUGCUCAGCACUUCUGUCCUGGACCAGGCCUGUCCGCCUCCCUGCCCUGUGGUCCUGAGGCUCAGCAGCCUCUCUCUGGUCAAGACACCUGCGUUUGUCUGGGAGAGGGACAGAUUUUCCAGACCAGUGAUGGGAGGUGCCACUGCACCAUCGGCUACCAACCUGCCAACAAUGGAGAGGCGUGCGUACACAAACUCUACUAUGUCUGCAGAGAUGGAAGAACUCGUUCACAGUACGGAGACUGUCUGGACAGAUAUCAGUGGUUACUUCAUUGCAGGCAACAGGUGUGUCCCACUGAAGAGGACUACCGGGGUUAUGACGGGGAGCUUGGUCUGUGCGUAUGCAGAGAGCCUCCUGGAAGAUCUGCAUGUGGAGGCCUUUGUAGGAGAAGGCCAGCUACUGAGUUAAAGCUCAACUGCCAGUACAAUGGAGAUAUGGAGCUGGUGUGGAGCUACGGCAGUCAGGUGACAGGCGUCUCUGGCAGCGGGCUGGAUUUGUUUUUUAAACAGUCAGACUUCCUGGGGACUCCUCUGUGUACCAGUUAUCUCAACUCUUCACAUGCUGUCUACAUUGUUCAGACCACCGAGGCAGGCUUCAUCGGCCUCCUCAGCGGCCUCCCUAAGGAGCUUCAGCAGCUCUUUCCUGUCGGCACACAGUGGGACACUCAGACUUCAGGUGGGAGAGAUUCUGGCGUUCUGUGGGAGAUCACGGAAGAUGAAUACAUCAGUCGUGAAGGAAUAGAAAUGAAUUCCAGCCACAGGAAGGGAAACAAGAGUGAUACCAAGGAAGAAGUGAAAGACACAAGUGUAACCGGAGUCCUGAACCCCACAACUUGUCUCCGUUUGGGGGACGUUAUACUCUUCACUGUGGAUACACGUCUCUAUCCUCAGUAUGAUCUUGACAACUUGUACAACACAAACAGAGACUUCGACUGGGGCGCAUUCAGACAGCUGAAGGAAGAGCUGACCCUGUCUUGGACUCCUCCUAGUUUCUUUGCAGUGGUCUUUAGCCAGCCCGGAGUGUACGUUUUUACACUGAGCAGCAAUCAGCACAAACACUUGUAUGUGAGGGUGAUGCCUGCAGGCGGCCAGUGUUAUGAGCCCAGCCCCUUCUUCCCCACCAUCCCUCGACACGUGACCAGGGUGGGAAUCAGUAGGAGACGCAACCUGCUGCUGCGGCCGGACUGGCUGGUGACCGGAGGACUACUAUUUGGAGCUGUGAUCAUCCUGUGUAUUUGUGUUACACUGCUGAUCCUGUUUCGUGAAUAUGGAUGGCCUGAGAAGCAGCCAAUCACAGCCCGGUAUCGUUUGUCACAGCUGUCCUACCAAAUGGACGACUACUCGUCAAAAGGAUCGAGGGUGAUGUCACUGAGGAAGAUCCACCGAAACCAUCAAGCUCAAAUGACACAAGACUCCAUUCCGCCAGGUACAAUAUUCCAACCCACAGUCGCAGAGACAUGAUCUCUGCUCAUUCAUUUCAACGCUUAAAC